UAACGAUGUCUACUAGUUGUCGGGUUUUAAUUAACUUGGUAACGCAGCUAACGCGUGAAGUAGACCGCCUGGGGAGUACGGUCGCAAGAUUAAAACUCAAAGGAAUUGACGGGGACCCGCACAAGCGGUGGAUGAUGUGGAUUAAUUCGAUGCAACGCGAAAAACCUUACCUACCCUUGACAUGUACGGAAGGCCGAAGAGAUUUGGCUGUGCUCGAAAGAGAACCGUAACACAGGUGCUGCAUGGCUGUCGUCAGCUCGUGUCGUGAGAUGUUGGGUUAAGUCCCGCAACGAGCGCAACCCUUGUCAUUAGUUGCUACGAAAGGGCACUCUAAUGAGACUGCCGGUGACAAACCGGAGGAAGGUGGGGAUGACGUCAAGUCCUCAUGGCCCUUAUGGGUAGGGCUUCACACGUCAUACAAUGGUACAUACAGAGCGCCGCCAACCCGCGAGGGGGAGCUAAUCGCAGAAAGUGUAUCGUAGUCCGGAUUGUAGUCUGCAACUCGACUACAUGAAGUUGGAAUCGCUAGUAAUCGCGGAUCAGCAUGUCGCGGUGAAUACGUUCCCGGGUCUUGUACACACCGCCCGUCACACCAUGGGAGCGGGUUUUACCAGAAGUAGGUAGCUUAACCGUAAGGAGGGCGCUUACCACGGUAGGAUUCGUGACUGGGGUGAAGUCGUAACAAGGUAGCCGUAUCGGAAGGUGC
rnacentral:rRNA from 1 species